UACGUAGGGUGCGAGCGUUGUCCGGAAUUACUGGGCGUAAAGAGCUCGUAGGUGGUUUGUCGCGUUGUUCGCUGAAAACUCACAGCUCAACUGUGGGCGUGCGGGCGAUACGGGCAGACUGGAGUACUGCAGGGGAGACUGGAAUUCCUGGUGUAGCGGUGGAAUGCGCAGAUAUCAGGAGGAACACCGGUGGCGAAGGCGGGUCUCUGGGCAACAACUGACGCUGGAGGCACGAAAGCGUGGGGAGCAAACAGG
rnacentral:rRNA from 1 species